AUUGAACGCUGGCGGCAGGCCUAACACAUGCAAGUCGAACGAGUGGCGGACGGGUGAGUAAUGUCUGGGAAACUGCCUGAUGGAGGGGGAUAACUACUGGAAACGGUAGCUAAUACCGCAUACCAUCGGAUGUGCCCAGAUGGGAUUAGCUAGUAGGUGGGGUAAAGGCUCACCUAGGCGACGAUCCCUAGCGGGUCUGAGAGGGUGACCAGCCACACUGGAACUGAGAAACGGUCCAGACUCCUACGGGAGGCAGCAGUGGGGAAUAUUGCGCAAUGGGCGCAAUCCUGAUGGAGCAAUGCCGCGUGUAUGAAGAAGGCCUUCGGGUUGUAAAGUACUUUCAGCGGGGAGGCGUUACCCGCAGAAAAAGCACCGGCUAACUCCGUGCCAGCAGCCGCGGUAAUUC
rnacentral:rRNA from 1 species